UACAGAUCAUGGGGUAGAGUCUACCGAG
rnacentral:sRNA from 1 species